UACGUAGGGGCAGGCGUUGUCCGGAUUUAUUGGGCGUAAAGAGCGUGUAGGCGGCCAUACAGGUCAGCUGUGAAAACUCGAGGCUCAACCUCGAGACGUCGGUUGAAACCGUAUGGCUAGAGUCCGGAAGAGGAGAGUGGAAUUCCCGGUGUAGCGGUGAAAUGCGCAGAUAUCGGGAAGAACACCCGUGGCGAAGGCGGCUCUCUGGGACGGUACUGACGCUGAGACGCGAAAGCGUGGGGAGCGAACAGG
rnacentral:rRNA from 1 species